GGCCGUGCUAGUAGGUUCCAUGCCGUGCUAGCAGGUUUUGGGCCGUGCUGGUGGAUUUCGGAUCAUCGAGUUAUGGAUCAAACCGACGGGUGCUGGACUGGAUCAGCGAGUUUUGGGCUGUGCCGACGGAUUCUAGGCCGUCGGGUUCUGAGCUGUGUCGGUAGAUUCUGGGCCAUUGGAUUUUAGGCUGUGCUGGUGAGUU
rnacentral:lncRNA from 1 species